rnacentral:sRNA from 1 species
GUAGAUAGAUGGUUUUUUAGAACAAAAGAUAUAACUCUUGAAGAGAAGCACCAUCUUCUAUUGUAUCU